UGCAGGGCUGAUUUCCCUUUCAUGGCCACUUUAAUCUGUGUGGAAAGGCCACUGCUCUAUUCUGCAACAGGUCCUUCACACAAACAGCAAGGGACGCAGCCUAGGUUUCAAGAAAGAAAACUCAUCCAGGCAGCAUCAGUGAUAGCUUCCUUGCCAGAUGACCUUAAUUGUGAACAAGAUGACCACGUUCUUCUGGUGCAAGAGAUAUUUUUCUCUUCAGAUAAGGAAAACAUUGUGCUCUUUUUAAAACUUUCAUGUAACCGUUCCAUGUAAAU